AUAGGUUUUCCAAUAUAACACAGUGAUCCAUUAAAUCAGAAGCGACAUUUCUUAAAAGUACAAUGCUUGCAUUCAUGAAAUGCUCUGACGCUAGAGUUGUUCGAAAAAGCGAAUUCUAGCGAAUAAAACAAACUAUGAAUUCAGCCCCAGACGUUUACAUUCUACAUUCGUCGUGCAACUCGUGCCCCGUCAACUUUUGCGGCAAACUGUACACCCGUUCGCUGUGUGAGAAAGGACAGCCGAAUUGAGUUUCAAGCAAAUAGUAAUCUUUGUGUGUGAAUGCCAACUGGACACUCAAAUAUGCGAUUGAUUGAUUGAUUGAUUGAUUGAUUGAUUGAUUGAUUGAUUGAUUGAUUGAUUGAUUGAUUGAUUGUAUUCAACGUCCUAAGACCACAGGGACUAUGAUACAAGCGGUGCCAGAGGGCUCCAAAUCAACUUCGACGACCUGCAUCAAGUACAAACAUGCAUCAAGCGCAACAAUAUUAGCUGAAUCUUUCUACCUCAGGACGUAUACUGCUGCUGUUACGAUCGGCAUGCAAGAGUACCGACCUGCAAAAUUUUCCCGGCCCGCUGCUACGACUCGCUUUGUCAACACAACAAUGCGCCUCCUCAACAGCCCAACGGCGCCGGCAUGUCUAGCCACGUUCGGCGGACCGAGUAUUGCUAGUUGAUUCGCUGUCGCCUUCACGGUUUGCUUGGAGCAAGAUAAUUCCUGGAAAAGGAUGUGUUGCGGUGUAUUCUCACGGGUCCCACAAGCCGUCACAGUCAAUCGACAGACGCGGCGGCUACUGACUGCAGGGUCAGCUCUGGGAUCAAGGGGCGCCUGCUUAGGUCAAGACCCCUGUCUACGAGAACCGUCUCACCUCGCUGCGUUCAGUGAAACCAAAGUGUCGAAGUGAGCGUGUGAACCCUCCCCCUCAAAGGCUGGUCGACUGCGAUGACUUUGGACGCUCCCAUUGGCCGAAGGUUGAACGGCAGUUUUCCCUCACCUAGGGAUCUAGGGAGGACAAAGUGUAUUUAAGCAGCCGUUUACGGCUGCUUGGUGUGCUUUCUCUUUCAGUCAUGAUAGACUGAUGAAGUGUAAAGUUCUCCACCCUUCAUGUAGAUUUGUAAAUAAAUCCCGUAUUCCUCGUU